rnacentral:rRNA from 11 species
CUUAAAAGCAUCUGUAUACCCUAAAACCACCAGAUCCCCUCUGAUUUUGGUAGAUAACCGUGUUCAGCACUGGUUAGUUCUUGGAUGGGAGACCGCCAAUGAAGAACCAGAUGCUGUAGGC